rnacentral:rRNA from 1 species
UGGGGGAUAUUGCACAAUGGGGGAAACCCUGAUGCAGCGACGCCGCGUGAGCGAUGAAGUAUUUCGGUAUGUAAAGCUCUAUCAGCAGGGAAGAAAAUGACGGUACCUGACUAAGAAGCCCCGGCUAACUACGUGCC